ACAUCGCGAUUACGGAUGU
rnacentral:misc_RNA from 1 species